rnacentral:misc_RNA from 1 species
ACUGGAAUAUCUGAUAUGAAAACCGUGUGAUAUUUCUUGGCGAUUGCAAUAUAAUCUGCUGCACCAACUGGACGGCCACAUAGAUAUUCAAAGUUGAACCUGGCUAUCCCGUUACAGUUUUCCGGAACGUCUAGUGCUCUCCCAAACAUCACAGAAAUAGUAUCUGAAGUAACUUUUCCUCCAGACUGUUUGGUAACCUUAUGCCAUAUGUCCUCAAAUUUUUUACGAGCAACAGAAUCAGA